ensembl:lncRNA novel transcript
GGUCCCCCCGGGCGUCGAUGAAUGUGGGGUACCAUUCCUUGAUGAUGUGGUCAUGUUUGUAGUCGGCCUUAUUGUCCUUUAGAUGUUCCACGGUGUUCCGCUCGCUCUUCUCAUAGGCCUCCCGGGGCUUCCGGACAGACACCUUGCAUUCUCGGACCUUGUUGACGAUGAAUUCUUGGAUGAGAAACCUGAUAUCUUCCAUGAGAGAUAACUAAACAGCCAUAGGACAGUACAGAACAAAUGUGGGCAAAAGUCAAAUCUACAAAUGAUGAACUCUUCCCUUUAUAUCCAACCCAAUAGGCAGUCAUCAUAAAGAAGUCUGAAUAUCUUGGUUGAGAGCUAGACUUUGGAAACAGAGAGACCCUGUAUAAUAACAGACUAAGAAGUAAGGAAGACAAGCCCAGCCAGUCCCACAACUAUUUCAUUAAUACCAGGUAAAGCAACAGACCUGCCAGUGAAGCAUCUUGGAUCCUUUAGCUUUAGUAAUGUUCUUGUAGUAAUUUUGGAAGUCAAUACUUUCCUUAAGAAUACUAAAGUUUUCUUUUGGGAAAAGAGAAAAACUGAGGAGAGGAAACAAACUGCUCUUAUACCUUCUUCCAUGGUCUUUGGAUGAAGGUUAAGUUAUGGGCCCCAAAAGUGGGCUAGCCUCAUUUGGAUAAUACUCCAUCCUAAGCAGUAUGGUUUUGAAUAAGUUGCUGAGACUUUCUGUGCCUCCAUUUGUAAAUGGUAUAAUAAUACCUAGUUCAUGGAAUUGUUGUGAGAAUGACAUAAGUGAAAGUAUGUAUAUUUCCAUGUUCUAUAUAAACUGGUUUUCUACAAAUUACAAAGCAACAACUAACCAAGUUAAUUGAAAUCGAGUACUUUAUUCAAGUAAUAAAUAUCUGGUAUUUACAAAUCAAAAUUGAAAAUCAUAGUACAUAACGAAAAUUCAUAUAUACAGAUCAACAAAUAUAGUAAUUUAAAACAC